rnacentral:lncRNA from 1 species
CUGGCCUUGACUCACCAGGACUCCUCAGAUCAGCUUCUCAAAAUGAGGCUCCCUGCUCAGCUCCUGGGACUGCUGCUUCUCUGGAUCCCUGGUGAGGACACAAGGAAGGAGAAUGGGGAGAGAGGGUGAGCUCUGAGCAUCCUCUGCUGCCUGUGUGUAUUGUGUACACAUGAGCAAUGUGCAGUUCCUGUCCCCUGGGUUGUGCAUGUGCUGUUUAAAUCUGUGAGAAAGAGGAAGUUUUAAGAAUAAGCAAAGACUUGUAAUCAGGUGAAGACUAGCACUAAUGGAGCCAGAUAACAGCAGAUUUCCUAAAGACUCUCUAUGCUUUAAACUAUUUGUGUCUUUUAUUGAAUAUUUUUACAAUGUGAAUCAAAGCUAUGAAAAACAUUUAUGCAGAAAUGAAAAAAAGAAAAUACAAAAAUUACAACAUUUAUAUAUAAACAUGUGCUUCUGUCAUAAUUACAGGAUGCAAUGGGGAUAAUGUGAUGACCCAGACUCCUCUCUCCCUGUCGGUUCCCCCUGGACAGCCAGCCUCCAUCUCCUGCAGGUCCAGUCAGAGUCUCCUACACAGUGAUGGCAACAGUUAUUUGAGUUGGUACAUGCAGAGGCCAGGCCAUUCUCCAAGUCUUCUGAUCUAUAUGGCUUCCAACAGGGCCUCUGGGGUCCCAGACAAGUUCAGUGGUAGUGGGUCAGGGACAGAUUUCACACUGAAAAUCAUCAGGGUGGAGGCUGAGGAUGUUGGAGUCUAUUAUUGCCAGGAUGGUUUAUACUUCCUCACACAGUGGUACAGCUCUAAACAAAAACCUCCCUGCUUGGGGUAGCCCAGCUGCCCAUGUGCUGACUGUGUAGAAGUAAAAUAUACACCCUUUGUGAGAGGAACAGGCUGAGGACUCCGAAGAAUAGUGCACAUCCAAUGCCUCUGGAUAAGGCAUGUCUCAGCUAGACUCAUCACUGCUGCAUUCCUGAUAUUUACCUAAGCAGCAGCAGAAUUAAGAGGGUACCAUUGUCCUUGGAACAGACAGGAACAGAAGACAAGAGAUCUGACUUGUAGCUCA